ACUGAGUGUCUGACACAUGUACAGAGCCCACAAGCUGCCAUGAGCUAUUUCUACAUGUAACUAGGUGACUACGCCUUGCAGCUUCCCCUACGUUAUAGGCUUUUUAACUUCAUUAUGUGAUCAGGCAUGUUGCCAACUUUGAAGGCCAUUCCACACAUCUGAGUGAUCUGGCUUGCCGUCCAGGUGAUUUAAGUGCCAAUCUUGAUAAAGGUCCGCAUAAGGACCGAAACGUCGAUGAAAUACGGCAUCAACAGUGAACCCGAAUAAAAAUAU